rnacentral:rRNA from 1 species
UUGGAGGGCAAGUCUGGUGCCAGCAGCCGAGGUAAUUCCAGCUCCAAUAGCGUAUAUUAAAGUUGUUGCAGUUAAAAAGCUCGUAGUUGAAUUUCGGGAUCAAUAUAUCGGUCGUGCCUUGGUACGUACUGGUAUCAUUGGUUUCUCCUUUCUGACGAACCAUGAUGUCAUUAAUUUGGUGUUAUGGGAAGUUAGGACUGUUACUUUGAAAAAAUUAGAGUGUUUAAAGCAGGCUUUAGCUUGAAUACAUUAGCAUGGAAUAAUGAAAUAGGACGUUCGAACCUAUUUUGUUGGUUUCUAGGAUCAACGUAAUGAUUAAUAGGGAUAGUUGGGGGCAUUAGUAUUCAAUUGUCAGAGGUGAAAUUCUUGGAUUUAUUGAAGACUAACUACUGCGAAAGCAUUUGCCAAGGAUGUUUUCAUUAAUCAAGAACGAAAGUUAGGGGAUCGAAGACGAUCAGAUACCGUCGUAGUCUUAACCAUAAACUAUGCCGACUAGGGAUCGGAUGAUGUUAAUUUUUUAAUGACUCAUUCGGCGCCUUACGGGAAAC